rnacentral:rRNA from 2 species
UACGUAGGGUGCUAGCGUUGUUCGGAAUCAUUGGGCGUAAAGCGCGUGUAGGUUGUUAUGUAAGUCGGAUGUGAAAUCCCUGGGCUCAACCGAGGAAGUGCAUCCGAAACUAUAUGGCUAGAGGACGGUAGAGGAAGGUGGAAUUCCAAGUGUAGAGGUGAAAUUCGUAGAUAUUUGGAGGAAUACCGGCGGCGAAGGCGGCCUUCUGGGCCGUUCCUGACACUGAGACGCGAAAGCGUGGGUAGCAAACAGG